CUCGUAGGCGGCUGGUCGCGUCUGUCGUGAAAUCCUCUGGCUUAACUGGGGGCUUGCGGUGGGUACGGGCCGGCUUGAGUGCGGUAGGGGAGGCUGGAACUCCUGGUGUAGCGGUGGAAUGCGCAGAUAUCAGGAAGAACACCGGUGGCGAAGGCGGGUCUCUGGGCCGUUACUGACGCUGAGGAGCGAAAGCGUGGGGAGCGAACA
rnacentral:rRNA from 1 species